CCUCUCUUUGUAGACUAACUACGACCUUUCUUUGGAAGGAGGACUGAAAAUGUGUUCUCUGUGUAGCAGCCUUUUGAGCAGCCUGCCCAGCAGGCUGGUGCAGGGCCUCCGAAGCCACCAACGUGGCCCAGGGAAAGGGGCUGCUGGGCGGCCCUCUGCCCCGCUCCAGGACUCGGACUGGUGCCAACAUGUGGGCUGGGAAUGCUGCAUCCUGCACUAAGGCCCGGGACAAGCAUCAGAAGGAAACGUGAUCGCUGUGAGAGCCUGGCGGUUGUACAGUGGACACUGGACUAGCCCGUUUCCAAAAGCUAAUUAUUAUGUUGAGGUAAGCACUGUGUAGACUUGCUUGCACUUGCACUGGUUUGCUAGCUGACCUGUCGGUUAUCUUUUGUAUCUUUUCAUCUAGGUGAGUCUUUGGAUAUGACCAAGUUACACAAAGCCCAAAGAAACCUGUCAGUCAUUCAAACAGUAAUAGAUGGCACACAUUUCUAGGGCCUGUUGGUUUUUUUGAUGGCUGUAAGCAGUGCAUAACCCUCAGUCUUCUGGGAUUUGACAUCUUCAUUACAAAUUGGGGCACAGAGGCUGUUGCUGAUACUCGUUCAAGUUUUUCAAUGAACACUUUCUUUCAGCGUUUCCCCCCUCCUCCCUCAAAAGUGCUCCUCCACUGUGGGAUCUUUAUCUGAGACUUCGCUGUAGAGCAGCCUUAUACAACUGCCCUGUUCAAGAGGAUCAUAUUAGCAUCAGCAGCAUGACUCUUUAGAAUGAUAAAUGUGCACUGAAAAGAUCUGGCAUGGAUCUAUUUCUAAAUUUAAGUCUGGACAACAAUUAGAAACAGAGCAAAACUCAGCCACAGACAACUGAGUGCUCUUCCCAGAGACAUUGCACUUUUUUAUCCAGUGUUUUUAUAACAGCAAGGACAGUAAAUAAGUCAGUGCCAUUUCCCAUCCUUCUCCUACCAUCUCCUUACUUAACAACAACUUCUAUUUUGAACCACAUCGGAAAUAACAAACUAUUUAUAAUAAAUGUUCUAAAGAAAUAUAACCAUGAUGCUUUAAAGACAGCCUCUGUUUGUCCAAACAAAAAUUACCUCCUCUCUUCUGUGUCAGUAAUAUGUAAUAACCCAAGAAAACAAGAAACUCAAAUUUAACAACACUGCUAGASUUACGAGUGGCCCAGUUUCC